rnacentral:rRNA from 1 species
GGACGAACGCUGGCGGCGUGGAUUAGGCAUGCAAGUCGAACGGUAGAGUUCCUUCGGGGACUUGAGAGUGGCGAACGGGUGAGUAACGCGUAGGUUAUCUACCCUCAAAUUGGGGACAACCCAGGGAAACUUGGGCUAAUACCGAAUGAGAGCAUCUUCGGAUGUUUAAAAGAUGGCAGUAAUGCUGUUGUUUGAGGAUGAGCCUGCGUCCCAUUAGUUAGUUGGUAAGGUAAUGGCUUACCAAGGCGAUGAUAGGUAGGCGGCCUUAACGGGUGGUCGCCCACACUGGGAUUGAGAUACGGCCCAGACUCCUACGGGAGGCAGCAGUCGAGAAUAGUCUACAAUGGCCGAAAGGCUGAUAGUGCGACGCCGCGUGAACGAAGAAGCCCUUCGGGGUGUAAAGUUCUUUUAUAUGUGAGCAAUGCCUUUUAUGUGAAUAGCAUGAGAGGAGCGAUAUUAGCAUAUGAAUAAGCAACGGCUAACUCCGUGCCAGCAGCCGCGGUAACACGGGGGUUGCAAGCGUUGUCCGGAAUUACUAGGCGUAAAGGGCAGGUAGGCGGAUAGAUAAGUUUUUUGUCAAAGGCGACGGCUCACCCGUCGUAAGGCAGGAGAUACUGUUUAUCUGGAAUGCGGUUGGGGAAGACAGAAUUCCUGGUGUAGCGGUGGAAUGCGCAGAGAUCAGGAGGAAUACCGAAGGCGAAGGCAGUCUUCUAAGCCGUUAUUGACGCUAAACUGCGAAGGUGUGGGUAUCAAACA